AGGCGGGCUGUAGAGCGAGAGAUUUGGACUCGAUUUAAAUACAGACAAAAUAGUAUGCAUUUACUAACACCACAUCUCACCCCCACGAAACUUGGUAAGGGCAGCAACAGAACUUUAUCUGCCAUAUGCACUCCUGUAUUCCUAUUACCAAAUAGUGCCAGGGACUAAGUGAAUAUUUGUCCAAUGAAUGAGUUUUAAGUAGGAAACGUUUGCAUAGAAUCAUUUUGUUUCUUUUGGAGUUCAAAUCUUCGGAUAUUUUACCCUUCCCAAUCCAAAGAAAAGUCUCUGAGUGAAGAGAUGGGAACAAAAUGUGGUCCAUAAAGCUGCUCUGGAGCCAAAAUAUUGCAGUCACAUCUCGGCAGCGACCUGCCCUCAGGUGGCAUUUUCAAGUCAUGGAGAAGGCGGAGAUCAUCUUUGUAACAAGAAGAAAACCAACCAAAUGAAAAUGAAAUGAAUUCUCUCAAAAAGAAUUAAGUCAAGACAGGAAGAAGGCUCGCAAAGUAAUAUAAAAUAUAUCUUAUGGUUUAUGGAAAAUUCUUAAUAAAAUACCUUCUUUGCUCCAA